UGGGGAAUUUUCCGCAAUGGGCGCAAGCCUGACGGAGCAAUACCGCGUGAGGGAGGAAGGCUCUUGGGUCGUAAACCUCUUUUCUCUGGGAAGAAUAACUGACGGUACCAGAGGAAUCAGCAUCGGCUAACUCCGUGCCAGCAGCCGCGGUAAUACGGGGGAUGCAAGCGUUAUCCGGAAUUAUUGGGCGUAAAGCGUCCGCAGGUGGCUAAUCAAGUCUGUUGUCAAAGCGCGGAGCUCAACUCCGUACAGGCGAUGGAAACUGGUUGGCUAGAGUUAGGUAGGGGUAAGAGGAAUUCCCAGUGUAGCGGUGAAAUGCGUAGAUAUUGGGAAGAACACCGGCGGCGAAAGCGUCUUACUGGGCCUAAACUGACACUGAGGGACGAAAGCUAGGGGAGCGAAAGGGAUUAGAUACCCCUGUAGUCCUAGCCGUAAACGAUGACAACUAGGUGUUGCCCGUAUCGACCCGGGCAGUGCCGUAGCUAACGCGUUAAGUUGUCCGCCUGGGGAGUACGCACGCAAGUGUGAAACUCAAAGGAAUUGACGGGGGCCCGCACAAGCGGUGGAGUAUGUGGUUUAAUUCGAUGCAACGCGAAGAACCUUACCAGGGCUUGACAUGUGCAGAAUCCUCUUGAAAGGGAGGAGUGCCUUCGGGAGCUGCAACACAGGUG
rnacentral:rRNA from 1 species